ensembl:lncRNA
GGGAGGGGUUAUGAGAACAAUGAUGGGUCCUCUCGUCUGUGAGCUCAUACGGUGUGUGUCUGCGUGUGUGAGUGUGUGUGAGUGUGAGCGCGUGGGAGCACAUGUGUUACAGGACGCAUGGCAUAUGCGUCUUCCGAUUGUGUGUGCGCAGGUGUGUGUGUGUGCGCGUGUGUGUGAGUCUACUACAGUCAGUCUCGGCGGUGCGCUAAGAGGGCUGCAUUAAGAAAGGCAUUGGAGUCCUUGUUCCUUCAAGAGUGAGAUGACACUUCUUCAAACUAUCAACUCCUUGAGCUGCGCAGCUAUGCAUCAAAAGGACGCCGGAUACCUGGAAAAGACGC